rnacentral:lncRNA from 1 species
GUGAAUUGGACUUUCAUAUUAAAUGUGCUUUGUUUACAUUUAAUAUUGCUGAGAAUAAUUUGAAAGAGCUUGAGCAUGUUGCCCUUCAACAUCCAUUGAUUCCCACUGAAAAUGGUGGUGAAAAACUUAAAGAUGUUUCUAAGUGCUUUGGGUGCCGGGAACCAUUAGCAAAUUAUACACACUUUUCUCCUUGCCGUGGGUUUAACUUACAUGAGAAAUGCACUGAGAUUCCUUUCAAAUUGAAGCAUGUGUGUCAUCGUAAGCAUCCUCUUGUCCUACAAUUUAAUAGCGAACGGCUCUCUUGCAAGAUAUGCUGCCAGGUAACAAGGCGAAGAGGAUUUGUUUAUGGAUGUUCUCCUUGUAAGUUUGUUGUUCACAUUGAAUGUGCAUCACAAUCACCAUUACAAGUUAUUAAGAGUACAAAUCAUGAACAUCCAUUCACCUUGUCGUUGAGACAAGUUCCAUUCACAUGUGAUGGGUGUGGCACUGAAGGAAAUCAUGUUGCCUAUACAUGUGGUACAUGCAACAUUACAAUCCAUAAAAAUUGCAUUUCAUUGCCUCGCAUUAUCAAAAGUAAGUGGCAUGACCAUCGCCUUGUUCACACAUAUUUCCAUCACAUAGAAGAUUUUAGGGUUUUGAAUUGCCUAAUAUGCCAUGAUGAAGUCAAUACAGAGCAUGGUAGUUACUAUUGUUCAAAGUGCAACGGUAUAUUCCAUGUGAAGUGUGUAAUGAAGGAUAAAGAUUCAUAUGAAAUAGUAGAAAAUGAAGAUGAGAUUGAGAUGCCCAUUGAAAGUUCCAUCAUUGUUAUUGAGAGCAACGAUGCUGGAGAAGCUACAAAAAUAAAUCAUUUCAAGCAUAUGCAUAAUCUAAUGUUAGGUCCCUUUGUUGGAGGAUAUGAAAAUAGUUGCGACGGGUGUAUGUUGCCAAUCUCGGAUCCGUUUUACUACUGUUCAGAAUGUGCUUUUUUUCUUCAUAAAGCGUGUGCCGAGUUACCUAAGAUGAAGAAUGUUUGGUAUCAUGAUUGCAAAGAGCCUCUAGCCCUUAUUUCUGACAAAGCUUUUUAUUGUCGACGAUGUUGGGGCAUAUCUAAUGCCUUUGGUUAUGAAUGUUGUGGAUGUGAGGAAAAAAUAUGUCUCCGAUGUGUGAUUGCUCUUACUCCUGGUGCUCGAACUUGUUUGAAACAUGAACACCCCAUCUUUUACUACACAAAGCACAAUGGGAAAUGCAAUGCUUGUGGUAGGACUACACAGUCGGCAUUCUGUUGUAAGGAUUGCAAUUUUGUGCUACAUCUUCGUUGUUUUUCACUUCCAAUUAUAGCUCGUCACAAAUGCGAUGAGCAUCUUCUUUCACUCACUGAUCAUGAUGAUAACUGUUAUUCAGAAAAUCAUUAUUGUGAUAUCUGUGAAGAAAGUCGAGAUCCAAAUCAUUGGUUUUAUAAUUGUUCAACAUGUGAUACUUCUGCUCAUGUUAAUUGUGUUCUUGGACCAUAUCCAUUCCUCAAACUCGGGAGCAUUCAUGAAGGAAAUGAUCAUCCACACCCACUCACCAUUGUGAAGAAGAAGUAUUACUACCCAGAUUGUGAUAAAUGUGGUAGGGCUUGUGUAGAUGUGGCUCUUGAAUGCUCAAAGUCGGAGUGCAAAUAUAUUGUCCACUGGGAUUGUGUGGUACCCUAUAGUCUACGGAGUUUUUGGGGGCUGUUCGAGUAGUAAUUCAGAUGUAAUCAUAUUUGAAAUCUGCCACUUCAUUUGCAGGAAAACUCAAGAAUGGAAAACAGGGUUUGAUCUUUGUCAUGUUACUUGUGAUAGUAGUUAUUGUUGUAACUGUAAUUUGGUUUUUUCGACUUUUUAAGUUAUAAAUAAAUGUCAUGUAAAAAUCUGAGCUGAAACUUGUGAGGUUUGAUUGUUGAUUUUAGAAUUUCUUAUAAUUUGGGAGUGUGAUUGUGCGUCUGUAACAGAUAAACUGAAAUUACUACAGUUCCAAAUAAAAUUGAAGGAUUAGUGUAUUCUUUUUUCCAUAAAAAAUAUAUAUUAAGACAAAAAAGAAAAUGCAAAGCCGAGAAAGGUCAUCAUCCACACAAUUUCACAACAGCUCAAACCAGUAAUCAAUGGAAGGAGUGAUUAUGGCCCAAACACUGCAAUAGCUUAACCAAGAAUGACAAUAAACAUGGAUCCCAUCUGCCCGCUUCGACUUUGGGAUUCAACAUGUGAUACUUCUGCUCAUGUUUGUUGUGUUCUUGGAAAUUAUUUAUUCCUCAAACUCAAGAGCCUUUAUGAAGAAAAUGAUCAUCCACACCCACUCACCAUUGUGAAGAAGAAGUAUUACUACUCAGAUUGUGAUAAAUGCGGUGAGCCUUGUGUAGAUGUGGCUCUUGAAUGCUCAAAGUCGGAGUGCAAAUAUAUUGUCCACUGGUAUUGUGUAACACCUGUUCAUCUACGGAGUUAUUGGGCGUGGUACAAGUGGUAAUUCAGAUGUAAUCAUAUUUGAAAUCUGCCACUUCAUUUGCAGGAAAACUCAAGGCUGGAAAACAGGGCUACUUGUGAUAUUAGUUAUUGUUGCAACUGUAAUUUGGUUUUUCUGACUUUUUAAGUUUUAAAUAAAUGUCAUGUAAAAAUCUGGAGCUGAAAGUUGUGAGGUUUGACUAUUGAUUGUACUUUUUAAGUUUUAGAAUUUCUUGGUUUCCUUAUAUAAGCUUUUUCUGAAAUUAUUUCUCUGUUGCUGCAAUAAAAUUAGGUUUAACGUUUAGCUCAAUGUAUUAGAUAAAGUAAGAAGGACCUGUCGCCUUCAAAAAACCAAACAUGUCUUUUAAUGAUAUAUUUCGCAUAUUAAAAUAUUAUUGCAGAAAUUGAUUAAAAAACUGAUUAAACAAACUUUGGGAUUCCAUUCCCCACACCUAAUGUUUUAGCUAUUUUUCCAUCUCUUUUUCACUCUCUUAUAUCACAACCUCGUAUCUAAUUUCCUUGCUUGUCUUGUCUUGUCUGGGAUGGGGUUGGAGUUUAGAGAAGUUGAGAGAACAAAAUACAGAGAAAACAAAGAAAAAUACUCAGCAGAAAUUUUUUGACUGCUAUCAAAUUUUCAUUCAACAAGAAAUACAAUAUAUAUACACGGGUGUAGUGGUUACAAGAAAGUCAACAAACCUCACUAAUACACUUUGAAAAUACAAAUACAUAGCUUGUACAUAAACAUCAAAUCAUCACUAAUUCUGCUUAUCUAACAAGUGACCUUAGCAAGCAGACUAAUACAAAAAUCAUCAGCAGCAUAUGCGAACCUUUCUUCAAAUACAUCAAGUGGUUCGCCAACAACACAUAAGCCCACACUCUGAUGAGCUCGCUACUAGACUGAGCUUGCAGCUUUGGUGGAGCUUGCAGCUUUGGUGAGCUCACAAUUUCAUAGGAAGAGUUCGCCACUACAGAAAUGACCACUUCGCAACACUCCUCCUUGGCCAUAAUGCUGUGAACUCCAAUAUCUUAUCUUAGCCUCUAUAACCUCAUUCUUCCAAGAGGUUUUGUGAGAAUAUUAGCAAGUUGGACAUAUGAACUACAAUGAACCAGUUUCACCUCAUUCGAUUGCUCAACUUCUCUAGAAAGUCCUAGGUCUUAGGUAACAUUACUUGUAGGUCGUAGGACUUUUAUAGUAAGUGCAUUGGGCUCAUCGAGUUCCCAACAAAAACCAAGACAGCAAAGAAAUCUAACAGGCCUGGUCACAGAUGAGCUAUAGUGAUAAUUGAUUUAAUGUUGAUCCUACUAAUAUGAAUCCAUAUCCGACUAACCUAGUUUGACCAUAAAAAUUAACAAUUUAAAUCAGAAAUAACAAUAACACAAAAAGAUUUAAACCAGUCCGAAUCCCAAACCCAAGAUUCUUCAAAUUCUCAAAAUUAAAAUAUUCGAAUUAUUUUGAUUCGGGUUAGUUUCACGUUCAAAUCAAUUUUAAUUUCAGAUCAUUUCAAAAUUGAUCAUUUUAGACUAAUAUUGAAUGGUGUUGGGUUAUUUUUUUAGUCAAAUCGGGUUUUGAAAUUUUUGAAUCAUUUUGGUUCGGGUUAGUUUCAAGUUCAAAUCAUUUUAGGUUCAAGUCAUUGGUCUCGGAUAAUUCCGGGCUCAUAUUGAACGAUGUUGGAUAACUUUUUAGUCAAAUCGAGAUUAAAAUUUCUAAAUCAUUUUGGUUCAGGUUAGGUUCAAGUUAGUUUCAGGUUCAAAUCAAUUUCGGAUUUGAUCAUUUUGGGCUCAUAUUGAAUGGUGUUGGAUUAUCUUUUUUUGUCAAAUCAGGUUUUAAAUUUUCCAGAUCAUUUUGAUUCCAGUUAGUUUCAAGUUUAAAUCAAUUUUGAUUUCAGAUUUGAUCAUUUCAAGUUCAUAUAGAAUGGUGUUGGAUUAUUUUUUAAUCAAAUCGGGUUUUAAGAUUUUCAGAUCAUUUUCGUUCGAGUUAAUUCCCGGUUCAAAUCAAAUUCGAUUUCAGUUCAUUUUGAGCUCAUAUUUAACCGUGUUGGAUUAAUUUUUUUAAUCAAAUCAAACCAUAUAUAAUUUGUAUUCAAUUUGAUAAAAUCGAAUUUUUAAAUUCAAAUCAAAUUUAACCUAUCACACCAAUCACAAUUUUUUUAAAAAUAAAUAACUGAACCGAAUUGAAAUCAACCCCAAAUAUCUCUCCUAUAAAUUACUAGCCACUUUGUAAAUCUAGAUCUCUCUCCAUAGUAUUCAUUACCAAGGAAAAUGGCGACGGGUGGCAUGGAUGAAGCAAGCAACAUGAAGGUGGUACUGAAACACUAUGUAUCUGGUUCACCACAAGAAACCGAUAUGCAUUUGACAGCCGGAACCAUCAAACUCAAAGUACCAAAGGAUUCUAAUUCCAUCAUCCUCAAGAAUCUUUAUCUCUCAUGCGAUCCCUACAUGAUCUUCAAAAUGAUGAAGCUCGAACGACAAUUAACAGAUCCUUACGUCCUCGGUUCGGUAAUUUUAUUCACUUCCUUUCAUCUUCAUCAUCGUUAUCGUAAUCAAGUUUUAUUGUGUUUUGAUAUGCUUUUUUGUUUACCGUAUUGAAAAAAUCAAAAAUUUGAUAUUUGAAUUUCAACAUCCGUUAAAAUGAACCAUUGGAUGAUCUUAAAAAAGUGAAAUGUGAUUUGAUUUUUGUUUGAAUUUAGCCUACAAAUUCUCAACUACAUUAUCAAAGAUCCGAGAUUGUUUCAGUAAGUGUAGAAACUAAUUAAGCCUCAUAAAUUUCUAUCACCUUUUCAUUAUUAGCGAUGGAUAUUUAUAACAUUGCGUCGAGUAUCGAUUAUUUGGAAUAUAGAAAAUAAAUGCUGGAAGAGCUUUCAGAAUAAUUUAGAGUCCAAUGAGGGGGCACGCAGGGGCUCUCCCAUCCCUAAAAUAAGAAAUUGUUGCUUUAGACUCCUCAAAUUUAUAAAAUCGUAAGUUAAUAUAUAGUUUGGCCCUCCAAAAAUGCUAGAAUUUUGGUUUAUUUCUAUGUGAAACUUCAUUUUAACUCUUAUAAAUAUAUUUAACUUAACUUCGGCCUCUUAAAGCAGACACUAAUUAAAUUACUUUUAGACUCCUUGGAAAUUUAUAAAAUUAUAAAUUAAUAUAGUGAUAAUUUUAUCUUUUAACAGCAACGUGACUAGCACAACUCGAACCGAAGACACACCUGGGACGAUGAACACUUUAUCCAUCAGGCCAACACACAAUAUUCUUUUUACACUAGGUUCUUUAAUUUCAUUGCAAUAAGUGAACCAAAUAAUAACACUUCAUCAAAUUUUUUUAAAAUUAAAUUUAUUUAACUUCAUUUUUAAUGAUAUGUAAUCAUCGAUAGCGCCGGUAUGCAUAUUAUUAGUAAUUUGGAUACACAGACUAAUUUUAGCUCGAAUUUGCAGCCUAUAACUGGAUAUGGAGUGGCAAAAGUUUUGGAUUCAGCACAUCCUGGCUUUGCAAAGGAUGAUUUGGUGUGGGGAAUAACUGGUUGGGAAGAGUAUAGUCUAAUUUCAGACCCUAAAAAUUUCUUUAAAAUCCAACACACCGAUGUACCUCUUUCCUACUAUGCUGGAAUUCUUGGUAACUAUCAAUUCUCUUCUAUCUUAGGUUAAGGUUGUUCGGGAUUGAAUUGUUCUCUUCUAUCUAUAUACGUGUUAUAAUGUCAUUAGUUAGUCAAAAUACUUAAAAUCAUUAAUUGUUCAUGUUAAAUCGUUGAUAUUGAUUUUUCCUUAACAAUAAUCCUUCCAACAAAUAAAAGGUUCACGAUAGUAUGAUGAGUUGGAGGGGGUGUUUUUAAGAAGAGAAAAAGCCAUGUCAGCAACAUUUUAAUCAGAAUAGAUAAGUAUUUGACCUAAUCAAUGACACCAAAAAAUAGAAAUGCUAAACUGUGUUAAAUUAAAGUAUGAGGGUUAAAUUUACAAUUUGAGCAUAGUAGAAGGAUCAAAACCAUAAUUUGACCCAAAUCAUGGAAUGAAAUGGUUAAAUUCUACUAUUAGUCCCUAUACUUUGUUAAAGUUAUGAAUUUACUCCUUAUAUACUUUUAUUUGAUCAAUUUUAGUUCCAAUGCUUUUCAAAUUUGAAACUUUAGUCUUGACCCAAACAAUAGUAGUUAAAUUCGUUUAGUUAAAUUCAAUUACUAGUUCUAUACUAUAUGUGUGCAGUUGUAGAUUUAGUUCAUUUUUUCUAAUUGGAUCAUUCCAAGUCUAUAUAUUUUUCGAAUUUGAAAUUUCAAUCUUGACACAAAUGACAAUCAUUAAUCUAUUAACUAGAUUUUUAGUGAGUAAUAUUUGAAAAUAAUAAGCUGAUAUAGCAUUACACAUAUGAUAAUAAGUUUGGUACAUCAGAUUUUAAAAAUAGCAGAACUUAAUAAAAAAAUGUAACCAAAGGAAAUCUAAGAACAUAUAAGAACAAAUGCAUAAAAUAGGGAAUUGAUAUAUAAUAAAAUAUGUUACUUAGACUCCAUGUGAGUGUUGAAUACGGUUAUGUAAUAUCGAUAAUAAAUGUAAGACGGUUAAUAGGUAUGCCUGGGAUAACAGCAUAUAUUGGUUUCUAUGAGCUUUGUGCUCCAAAGAAAGGAGACUAUGUGUUUGUUUCAGCAGCAUGUGGUGCAGUUGGUCAGCUAGUGGGGCAAUUUGCCAAGCUCCAUGGUUGCCAUGUUGUUGGAAGUGCUGGUAGCCCAGAGAAGGUAGGCCCUUUGCAUGCUAUUCCUAUUCUUUUUAGGGCUAAUAUACUAUUUGAAUAAAAGCAUUGACUAGCUAAUUGAGUUUACCUCUGUUUAGGGUUUAGAGGAAGGAGAAAUGGAGGAGUCCAACAAUUAUGGCCACCAACAUCCCCUGCUUCUUAUCUUGAAUCAAGACCAGCUGAUCCACAAUCAAAGUGGUGUAACUCAUUGCUCCAGGUGCGGGGAGGAGGUGUCUGCUCCAUGUUUUUGCUGUGUGGAGCACUGUGGGUUUUAUCUUCACAAGGCAUGUGCCGACGCACCUUUGGAGCUUAAUCAUCCUUUUCAUCCCCAUCAUCCUCUUGUUCUUCUGCAAGAGCCACCAUCUUCUUACUCAGGGUGUGUUUGCGAUUUCUGUGAUGAACCAUGUACGAAUUUCAUUUAUCACUGCUCUUGCGCAUUGGACUUUCAUAUUAAAUGUGCUUUGUUAAUAUUUAAUAUUGCUGAGAAUAAUUUGAAAGAGCUUGAGCAUGUUGCCCUUCAAGAUGAAGAACUUGCAGAUGAAAAUAAGUGCUUUGGGUGUUGGGAACCAUUAGCAAAGUAUACACACUUUUCUCCCGACUGUGGAUUUAAUUUACAUGACAAAUGCGCCGAGCUUCCUUUCAAACUGAAUCUUGAGUGCCAUCGCGAACAUCCUCUUGUUCUACAAUUUAAUAGCGAAAGGCUCUCUUGCAAGAUAUGCUGCCUGGUGAGAACGCGAAGAGGAUUUGUUUAUGGUUGUUCUCCUUGUGAGUUUGUUGUUCACAUUGAAUGUGUAUCGCAAUCACCAUUACAAGUUAUUAAGAGUACAAAUCAUGAACAUCCAUUUACCUUGUUUAACGGGCACCAACAUCCCCUGUUUCUUAUGUUGAAUCAAGAGCAGCUGAUGGAUAAUCAAAGGGGUGUAACUGAUUGCUGGAGGUGUGGGGAGAAGGUGUCUGCUCCAUGUUUUUGCUGUGCGGAGCACUGUGGGUUUUAGCUUCAUAAGGUAUGUGCCGAGGCACCUUUGGAGCUUAAUCACCCUUUUCAUCUCAACCAUCCUCUUCUUAUGCAAAAUGCACCUUAUUCAUCCGGAAUGUACAUUUGCAAUUUUUGCAAUAAAUCUGGUCACAAGUCUGUUUAUCGCUGCUCUUCUUGUGAAUUGGACUUUCAUAUUAAAUGUGCUUUGUUUACAUUUAAUAUUGCUGAGAAUAAUUUGAAAGAGCUUGACCAUGUUGCCCUUCAAGUUGAAGAACUCCCACUGAAAAUGGUGAUGAAAAACUUAAAGAUGUUUCUAAGUGCUUUGGGUGCCGGGAACCAUUAGCAAAUUAUACACACUUUUCUCCUUGCCGUGGAUUUAACUUACAUGAGAAAUGCACUGAGAUUCCUUUCAAAUUGAAUCAUGUGUGGCAUCGCAAGCAUCCUCUUGUCCUACAAUUUAAUAGCGAACGCCUCUCUUGCAAGAUAUGCUGC